rnacentral:ncRNA from 1 species
AAGCUCAAGGGCGUACAAAUCUUGCCAAUGGCAUUUCCCUGGACGUUAGCGAUGAUCCGCGAGGUAGCAACCUGGAGUUUGCUUCACCGUUAGUACGUGCACGGAACGCGGUGGGGU